UACGUGGGGUGCAAGCGUUGUCCGGAAUUAUUGGGCGUAAAGAGCUCGUAGGCGGCCUGUUGCGUCCGCUGUGAAAUCCCGGGGCUCAACCCCGGGCGUGCAGUGGAUACGGGCUGGCUGGAGGCAGGCAGGGGAGAACGGAAUUCCUGGUGUAGCGGUGAAAUGCGCAGAUAUCAGGAGGAACACCGGUGGCGAAGGCGGUUCUCUGGGCCUGUACUGACGCUGAGGAGCGAAAGCGUGGGGAGCGAACAGG
rnacentral:rRNA from 1 species